GCAAGUUCAUAUCGUUUCCCAUCUUUAUAUCUAGUUGUACUAUCCAAAGUUUCAUGAACAUGACCAUUCCAAGAUAGAGCAUCCUAGUAGUUAUGAGUUCAUCCUAGUUCAUGUAUCAUGCCUCAGUUUCAGAUCCCAGAUAUUCAGUCAUGAUUUAGUUCGUAGGUGCCCCGUGCAUCAUCUCAUCUUUUCCUUAGUAUCUCAGCCAAGUCAGCAUUCCUCGAAGGACAUAGUGUCCCAAGGGGGAGAUGCACUAUAACC
rnacentral:lncRNA from 1 species